rnacentral:rRNA from 1 species
CCUACGGGAGGCAGCAGUGGGGAAUAUUGGACAAUGGGGGAAACCCUGAUGCAGCGACGCCGCGUGAGUGAAGACGUAUUUCGGUAUGUAAAGCUCUAUCAGCAGGGAAGAAAAUGACGGUACCUGACUAAGAAGCCCCGGCUAACUACGUGCCAGCAGCCGCGGUAAUACGUAGGGGGCAAGCGUUAUCCGGAUUUACUGUGGUUAUAGGGGGCGGAGACGGGCAAACAAGUCACAAGUGAAAGCCCAGGGCUCAACCCCGGGACUGCUUGUGAAACUGCCGGGCUGGAGUGCAGGAGAGGUAAGCGGAAUUCCUAGUGUAGCGGUGAAAUGCGUAGAUAGUAGGAGGAACACCAGUGGCGAAGGCGGCUUACUGGACUGUAACUGACGUUGAGGCUCGAAAGCGUGGGGAGCAAACAAGAUUAGAUACCCCUGUAGUC